ACUGUCUACAUGCGCUUCUGUACAGAUAUGGAAGCUGAAAUAUGUCAGUAUUUUAAAGUACAUGGUAAAAUAGAAACGGACUUGUUUAAUAAGUGUAAGAUUGUUCCCAAAGAAGGCAUAUUAAUUACGUCAUGUCAUGUCACGUGACACCAGCACACCGGGGUGCCAGCGGCAGGUCAACGGACUUGAUGGAGAGGAGGAAGAAAAAGGUGAGGAACGUCGAGAAGGGACUGCCUUACGAAGAAGCGUGCUGCUGUUUUUAAGAACCUUCUGCAAACA